rnacentral:rRNA from 1 species
UACGUAGGGUGCGAGCGUUGUCCGGAAUCAUUGGGCGUAAAGCGCACGUAGGCGGUCUGUUAUGUCGGAUGUGAAAGCCCUUGGCUUAACUGAGGAAGUGCAUCCGAAACUGGCAGGCUAGAGUACUAAAGAGGGUCGCGGAAUUCCAGGUGUAGCGGUGAAAUGCGUAGAUAUCUGGAGGAAUACCGGUGGCGAAGGCGGCAUCCUGGACCGACAUUGACGCUGAACGGCGAAAGCUAGGGGAGCAAACGGG